rnacentral:rRNA from 1 species
CCUACGGGUGGCUGCAGUAGGGAAUAUUGCUCAAUGGGGGAAACCCUGAAGCAGCAACGCCGCGUGGAGGAUGAAGGUUUUCGGAUUGUAAACUCCUUUUGUUAGAGAAGUUAAUGACGGUAUCUAACGAAUAAGCACCGGCUAACUCCGUGCCAGCAGCCGCGGGAAUACAGAGGGUGCAAGCUUUACUCGGAAUCACUGGGCGUAAAGAGCGCGUAGGCGGGAUCGCAAGUCAGAUGUGAAAUCCUAUGGCUUAACCAGAGAACUGCAUAUGAUACUGUUAUUCUAGAGUAAGGGAGAGGUAGCUGGAAUGCUUGGUGUAGGGGUGAAAUGCGUAGAGAUCAAGAGGAAUACUCAUGGCGAAGGCGAGCUGCUAGAACAUAACUGACGCUGAGGCACGAAAGCGUGGGGAGCAAAAAGGAUUAGAUACCCUAGUAGUC